GACAAUGUGGCCGAGUGGUUAAGGCGACGCACUCGAAAUGCGUUGGGAUUUCCCGCGCAGGUUCGAAUCCUGCUGUUGUCG
rnacentral:tRNA from 1 species